CAGCAGCCACGGGAAUACGAAGGGGGCUAGCGUUGUUCGGAAUUACUGGGCGUAAAGCGCGCGCAGGCGGUUCUCCAAGUCAGUGGUGAAAGCCCGGAGCUCAACUCCGGAACUGCCAUUGAAACUGUUGAACUUGAGGACGAGAGAGGUGAGUGGAAUUCCCAGUGUAGAGGUGAAAUUCGUAGAUAUUGGGAAGAACACCGGUGGCGAAGGCGGCUCACUGGCUCGUAUCUGACGCUCAGGCGCGAUAGCGUGGGGAUCAAACAGGAUUAGAUACCCGGGUAGUCCCUGUCUCUUAUAU
rnacentral:rRNA from 1 species